rnacentral:rRNA from 1 species
AUUGAAUGCUGGCGGCAGGCCUAACACAUGCAAGUAGAACGAGUGGCGGACGAGUGAGUAAUGUCUGGGAAACUGACUGAUGGAGGGGGAAAACGACUGGAAACGGUAGAUACUCCCGCAUACCAUCGAAAGGACCCAGAUGGGCUUAGCUAGGGGGUGGGGUAAGGGCUCACCUAGGCGACGAUCCCUAGCUGGUCUGAGAGGUGGACCAGCCACACUGGAACUGAGACACGGUCCAGACUCCUACGUGAGGCAGCAGUGGGGAAUAUUGCACAAUGGGCGCAAGCCUGAUGCAGCCAUGCCGCGUGUAUGAAGAAGGCCUUCGGGUUGUAAAGUACUUUCAGCGGGGAGGCGUUACCCGCAGAAGAAGCACCGGCUAACUCCGUGCCAGCAGCCGCGGUAAUUC